rnacentral:rRNA from 1 species
GAUGAACGCUGGCGGCGUGCCUAAUACAUGCAAGUCGAGCGAACAGACGAGGAGCUUGCUCCUUCGACGUUAGCGGCGGACGGGUGAGUAACACGUAGGUAACCUACCUAUAAGACUGGGAUAACUUCGGGAAACCGGAGCUAAUACCGGAUAAUAUUUCGAACCGCAUGGUCCGAUAGUGAAAGAUGGCUUUGCUAUCACUUAUAGAUGGACCUGCGCCGUAUUAGCUAGUUGGUAAGGUAACGGCUUACCAAGGCAACGAUACGUAGCCGACCUGAGAGGGUGAUCGGCCACACUGGAACUGGGACACGGUCCAGACUCCUACGGGAGGCAGCAGUAGGGAAUCUGCCGCAAUGGGCGAAAGCCUGACGGAGCAACGCCGCGUGAGUGAUGAAGGUCUUCGGAUCGUAAAACUCUGUUAUUAGGGAAGAACAAACGUGUAAGUAACUGUGCACGUCUUGACGGUACCUAUUCAGAAAGCCACGGCUAACUACGUG